rfam:Triticum urartu cultivar G1812 contig81305, whole genome shotgun sequence.
UUAGUACUCCCUCCAUCCCAAAAUUCUUGUCUUACAUUCGUCUAGAUACGGAUGUAUCAAGUCACGUUUUAGUACUAAAUGCAUCCGUUUCUAGACGAAUUUAAGACAAAAAUUUUGAGACAGAGGGAGUAUCUG